rnacentral:rRNA from 1 species
GUCUACGGCCAUACCACCCUGAACGCGCCCGAUCUCGUCUGAUCUCGGAAGCUAAGCAGGGUCGGGCCUGGUUAGUACUUGGAUGGGAGAGACCGCCUGGGAAUACCGGGUGCUGUAGGCU